rnacentral:rRNA from 1 species
UUAUGAGAGUUUGAUCCUGGCUCAGGACGAACGCUGGCGGCGUGCCUAAUACAUGCAAGUCGAACGCUUUUUCUUUCACCGGAGCUUGCUCCACCGAAAGAAAAAGAGUGGCGAACGGGUGAGUAACACGUGGGUAACCUGCCCAUCAGAAGGGGAUAACACUUGGAAACAGGUGCUAAUACCGUAUAACACUCUUUUCCGCAUGGUUUUGAUUUGAAAGGCGCUUUUGGGUCACUGAUGGAUGGACCCGCGGUGCAUUAGCUAGUUGGUGAGGUAACGGCUCACCAAGGCCACGAUGCAUAGCCGACCUGAGAGGGUGAUCGGCCACAUUGGGACUGAGACACGGCCCAGACUCCUACGGGAGGCAGCAGUAGGGAAUCUUCGGCAAUGGACGAAAGUCUGACCGAGCAACGCCGCGUGAGUGAAGAAGGUUUUCGGAUCGUAAAACUCUGUUGUUAGAGAAGAACAAGGAUGAGAGUAAAAUGUUCAUUCCUUGACGGUAUCUAACCAGAAAGCCACGGCUAACUACGUGCCAGCAGCCGCGGUAA